GUGGGGAAGUUAUACGUCAACAUUCAAAGAAACAGACAAGUCAAAAGAUUUCCUGUGGUCAGAAGUUAUACAGACCAGAAAUUGUUACGGAUGUAUGUGUGACCACUCAGUCCACUCAGUCUAAAAGUAACUUAUGGGUGCUGCAGACCAAUUAUGCCGACGUCAUGGAUUCUAGGGUGUGCAAAGCAACUGCUGAACUCAUUUUACAACCCGUACACAUCAUCACGCACUCCAAAGAUGCGAAAAAAAAAACUGCCGCGGUUUGAGGUUGUAGAGUCCGAGUUAGUUUGUUCGACGAAUCAAGUUCAGCCGAUAACAAUAGGUCACAUCGAGGACAGUCACUUUGUUCCACUUGUAUUCCACUUGUAAAAACUGUCUGAUGGAUGGGAUGGACAUUCUCGAUCUGAAGCUGCAGAUUUCCUUCACUCGAUAACCUAGCUUCGACUUUAUUGAGAUCUUCAUGGUUCUGUAUCAAGGUCUUUCUGCUUUGUCGGGGAUCAAUGUACAACUACAAGAAAAGGCAACCGAUGUGUAUGAUGCUUU